GUCCCAGUUCGGAUUGUAGUCUGCAACCCGACUACAUGAAGCUGGAAUCGCUAGUAAUCGCAGGUCAGCAUACUGCGGUGAAUACGUUCCCGGGUCUUGUACACACCGCCCGUCACACCAUGGGAGCCGGAAAUGCCCGAAGCCAGUGACCCAACCUUAGGGAGGGAGCUGUCGAAGGUGGAGCCGGUAACUGGGGUGAAGUCGUAACAAGGUAUC
rnacentral:rRNA from 1 species